UGCAAGCUGUAGGGGCUAGCUUUGUUUCCCGUAUCAAUCUUGCCACUGGAGAUGUUGUUCCUGAAACAAAAGCGCUUGCAAAAGGCAUAUUAGAUAUUUUAUCUGGAGAUAUGCCAAAGGGUAUCAAGAUUCAGACUAAGCAUCUUGAGGCCCUUAUUGAAUUGCACAACAUGAUGGGGACAUUUGCAAGGAAUAUUCAGCACCUAUAUUCAGAAUCUGAUCUCCGAGUUUUAUUGGACACACUGAAGGCAGUUAACCUUCCUUAUGAAUCAUUUAAACAGAGGUAUGGUCAGAUGGAACGUGCCAUCCUGUCUUCUGAGAUUGCAGGGGUUGACCUAAGGGGAGCUGUCACUCGUGGUGUGGGAGCCCAAGGAAUUGAACUGAGUGAAACAGUUCGGAGGAUGGAAGAAUCUAUUCCCCAAGUUAUCGUACUUCUUGAAGCAGCCGUAGAGAGGUGCAUUAACUUCACUGGUGGCUCUGAGGCAGAUGAACUAAUUCUUGCCCUUGAUGACAUCAUGUUACAGUACAUAUCUUUCCUGCAAGAAACCCUUAAAUCACUGAGAGUUGUCUGUGGAGUGGAUAAUGUCAUUGAUCCAAGGAAGGACAUGAUCUUGGAGAAAAAGGAAGGGAGCCAAAAUGUGCGCAGAAUAGACUCAGUGUCAAAUGAAGAGGAAUGGUCCAUUGUCCAGGGUGCUUUGCAGAUACUAACAGUUGCAGAUUGUCUAACGAGCAGAUCCUCUGUCUUUGAAGCUUCCUUGAAAGCCACUCUAGCUAGACUGAGCACAAGUUUGUCUCUUUCAGUGUUUGGAUUCAAUUUGGACCAAAACCAGUCACACAUUACUGCAAAUGAUGGAAAUGGGGAACAAUCCUUGGGUGGAAGGGCUGCUUUGGAUGUGGCAACUGUCAGGCUUGUUGAUGCUCCUGAGAAGGCUCGGAAACUAUUUAACCUUUUGAAUCAGUCUAAAGAUCCUCGGUUUCACGCACUUCCACUAGCAUCACAGAGAGUUGCAGCAUUUGCUGACACUGUGAAUGAACUUGUCUAUGAUGUGCUAAUAUCUAAAGUACGGCAACGCCUCAGUGAUGUGUCUCGUUUACCAAUUUGGUCCUCAAUGGAGGAACAGAGUGCUUUCCCUCUUCCAACCUUUAGUGCUUACCCACAAUCUUAUGUAACCAGUGUUGGUGAAUAUCUUCUUACUUUGCCCCAGCAGUUGGAGCCCCUUGCUGAGGGCAUAUCUAGCAGUGAUGUCAACAAUGAUGAAGCUCAGUUUUUCGCAACUGAGUGGAUGUUCAAGGUUGCAGAGGGUGCCACCGCUCUUUACAUGGAGCAGUUGCGGGCUAUUCAGUGCAUAACAGAUCGUGGAGCACAGCAGCUGUCUGCUGAUAUUGAGUACUUGAGUAAUGUGCUUUCUGCUCUAUCAAUGCCGAUUCCUCCAAUCCUGGCAACUUUCCACACAUGCCUCUCAACGCCCAGAGACCAGCUGAAGCAUCUUGUGAAAUCGGACGCUGGGAACCAGCUUGAUCUUCCAACAGCAAAUCUGGUGUGUAAAAUCCGGCGUAUCAGUUUUGAUUAGAAUUAUGCAAUAACACUCCUUAUAAAACAUUUUUUAUGUGCUUUCUGUGAAAUUUUUUAUGUUAAAAGGAUAGGUUACUGUUAUAAUCCUGCCCAUUCUUUAUUGUGAAUGCACUUUAACCUUCUAAAUCCUCGCAAGAACACUCCUCACAAAA
rnacentral:misc_RNA from 1 species